GUGAAAACAGAAGUUGCUCUGGAUUUUCUAGGGACCAUAUAUUGGUCGGCACAUCCAAACAUUUGGUAAACACUUCUGGGAAGGAGACAUAGCAAUGGCUGUUCUUGGAAAUCAGAAGAGGGAUUGAUGUCAAAUCUCUGCAUCUCCAAACCGCAUGAUGGAAAAGGGCAGAACUGCCAGCAUUUACGUUUAGAAGACCUCUUUGCCAGGAACAAAUGCUGACAAUUUGAUCUGCUCUGGGAUCCAUUCAAGAUUCUGUUUACCCAGCUUUUGCUCUGAAUUGUAUCGUUAUAGAUUACCAACUUAACUUACCAACCACUACAGAACUGGUGAUUCAUGUCUGAAGAGCAUCCCUGGGAAGAACCCUGGAGUGAAGGAGGAGAAGCACAGGGGGUGGUGUGGCGCUGAACAGAGCCUGGAAAUGCUAUAUCUCUCAAAAUGCUGCACUCCAGGGAGCCCUGAAAGCUGCUGCAACCUAUCUCAGAAAAUGCUAUGUCAGAAAGAAAAAUAGAUUUUUUUCCUAAACUUCCUUGAAUUCUAAAGACAACAUUUAAGGCAAUCCUAAGAAGUAGCCACAGAAUGUGACUUUUUUCCCUUUUUUUUUUUUUUUUUUUUUUAAGUGCUUGUCUGAAAAUACUGCCUGAUAUGCCUGGAGAGAACCUUGGAGUACCAAAGGAAAUACUUGUGUCAUUGGCUUACUAAAUGAAUAGUAACUCUAUGGAUGUCAGAAUGAUUCAGGUGAUCACCAUUUAUAUCUUCCUCUUACUUCAUUUAGGUUUGCUCACUUUGCCCACAGGAGAUGGUGAAUAAGCCCCCUUCCAUCAUACUUGCUCUCCAGACAGACACCCAGGAGUCACCCGCAUCACCAGAUUCUGCAGAGGGCAGCAUUAAGAGCCAGGGUGAUACAUCAUUUUUUCCUGUCCAAUGCUGCUCUCUGUUGAAUGAAGUUGUAGGCGGCACAUCACGUUUGCAGUAUAUAUUGAUUUACGAUUUCAAAGUGCUGAACAAACAACUCAUUCUUCCAAGCAGACCACAGAUAAUGACUCAUUAGCUCCAAUUUAAUAUGCAGGAAAAGUGGGAGGACAAUGGUUGCACAAUUAAUCUGCUAGGCCACAGGGCAUUAAGGAUGCCAUGCUCAUCUGCUCCGCCAAUGGAGCUGCAUUAGCUCCACUGCUUGAAGCACCCAAGUGGAGGAGAAGAAAGAACCCCUUCAGCUCCUCUGUGCUGCUGCAUUCUGGGGUUUGACACCUCCUGUGCACAUUUUUUGUCCUGUUAGUCGAUGCACUGGCAUUGAACUCCACAUCUGGCUUGUGCUUUUUCUACAGCAGCUGAAAUGCAGUUUCUUGUCUUCCCAG
ensembl:lncRNA